AGCUGCCUCACCUUGCCUUGGCUCUACCACAUCAAAUUGUUUUCAAGUUCAAAGGGAAGUUCCAGACUAUUGCCUGCGAUGAUUGUUUACCACAAAAAGAGUGAUUAACAAAGCAUUUAAGUUUCUCUUGUUUUAUCAGCCAGCAGCCAGUAGUCACCAAUUAGUGUGAGCCUAAGAAGCCAUGAAGCAGGUGGGAAGAGGAAAAGCUGAGUCUUGAAACUGGAGGAGCAAUGAUGUCAGCCAGGUAACACUGAAUUCCUCGACAGCCUUGCAGCACCUGGUCCAAAGCUUUCUGCCAAAGUGCAGGUACAUAUGCUAAUCCAAAGGCAGGGUGGAUGCUGCAUACCAAGACAGGUUGUGGAAAAACAGGACAUGGAGUCUAGAGAGGCAGACCAAACGGCCAUGAUGCAUGAGCUAGGAUUGGAAAAUAACACUGAUACUGAUCCAGAUUUUGAAUGCUUUAUGUCCAGUGUACCUCAUCUGAUAUAAUGCAAUCUGAGUUAAAUAAACUGUUCAGAGUCAUGGGUUUUGUCAAAGGCCAAAGCAGAAUUACUGGGUUCAAGACCGGAAGGAUGGAAUCUGUUGUCACUGGGCACAAAAAAUCCAUGAAGGAUUUCAAAAUUUGAUGUUUCCCAAAAUAUUUCAUGCCAAGAUUAAAGAAGCCAUUUGUUGGUCCAUAAAUCAAAUGGAUCAUCAAUGACCGACACUUUGAAAACUUGUGGGACCGGGGGAAGUUGCAUGGAAGGCAUUCAAGGAUGUUGAUGAAAAUUUUCUUGGCAACCACAGAGUACCAAACUUGUUGACAACAUGCUUCAAACAUGCAAAACCAUGAAGUGCAGCAUGUCGCUAAAGAUUUAUUUUCUGCAUGCAUUCCCAUUUAGACUUCUCUGCAAACCUUGGCACUGUCAGUGACAAGCAAGGUGAAAGAUUUCACCAGGAUAUUACAGUCAUGAAGAAAAUGAUAUCAGGGCAACUGGAAGCCAUCGAUGCUGGCUGAUUAUUAUUGGACCUUCGGAGAGAAG